rnacentral:rRNA from 1 species
GAUGAACGCUGGCGGCGUGCCUAAUACAUGCAAGUCGAGCGAACAGACGAGGAGCUUGCUCCUCUGACGUUAGCGGCGGACGGGUGAGUAACACGUGGAUAACCUACCUAUAAGACUGGGAUAACUUCGGGAAACCGGAGCUAAUACCGGAUAAUAUAUUGAACCGCAUGGUUCAAUAGUGAAAGACGGUUUUGCUGUCACUUAUAGAUGGAUCCGCGCCGCAUUAGCUAGUUGGUAAGGUAACGGCUUACCAAGGCGACGAUGCGUAGCCGACCUGAGCGCGUGAUCGGCCACACUGGAACUGAGACACGGUCCAGACUCCUACGGGAGGACGCAGUAGGGAAUCCUCCGCGAUGGGCGAAAGCCUGACGGAGCAACGCCGCGUGAAUGAUGAAGGUCUUCGGAUCGUAAAACUCUGUAAUUAGGGAAGAACAAAUGUGUAAGUAACUAUGCACGUCUUGACGGUACCUAAGCAGAAAGCCACGGCUAACUACGUG